rnacentral:rRNA from 1 species
GAUGAACGCUGGCGGCGUGCCUAAUACAUGCAAGUCGAGCGAACGGACGAGACGCUUGCUUCUCUGAUGUUAGCGGCGGACGGGUGAGUAACACGUGUAUCACCUACCUAUCAGACUGGGAUCACUUCGGGAAACCGUAGCUUAUACCGUAUAAUAUUUUGCUCCGCAUGGUUCAAAAGUGAAAGACGGUCUUUCUGUCACUUAUCGCUGCAUCUCGGCUGCAUUAGAUAGUUGUUAAGUUGACGGCUUUCCACGGCAACGAGGCAUAGACGACCUGAGAGGGUGAUAGGCGACCUGGGAACGGAGACACGGACAAGACGACUAAGGGACGCAGCAGAAGGGAACCUUCGGCAGUGGGCGAAAGCCUGACGGAGCAACGCGGAGUGAGUGAUGAAGGUCUUCGGAGCGGAAAACUCGGUUAUGAGGGAAGAACAUAUGUGUAAGUAAAUGUGCACAGAGUGACGGUAACGAAUCAGAAAGCAACGGCUAACUACGUG